rnacentral:rRNA from 1 species
UACGUAGGGUGCAAGCGUUAAUCGGAAUUACUGGGCGUAAAGGGCGCGUAGGCGGUCGUGACAAGUCACUUGUGAAAUCUCCGGGCUUAACUCGGAACGGUCAAGUGAUACUGUCGGACUAGAGUACAGAAGGGGCAACUGGAAUUCUCGGUGUAGCGGUGAAAUGCGUAGAUAUCGAGAGGAACACCUGCGGCGAAGGCGGGUUGCUGGGCUGAUACUGACGCUGAGGAGCGAAAGCGUGGGGAGCGAACAGG